CACGAGACCCUCUCCACUACCAGCCUUUGUCGCUCAUAGGAAAGAGGUGUCGGAUUUUGUGAGCUUUAGCUCAUCAUCGUCGGUGCAGGUGGAGGAUGAAGUAACUUUCAUGGAGCGGAUGGCCAAGAAGGAGAGACUUGCACCUACCACGGAGGGGGCGACAAGUUAUGCACGAGAGCCAGAAGUUGUCGUCAUCGGACUCGAUCCCAGCCCCAGCAGGAGGCUCCCUUCCAGUACCUGACGACAAGUAACUGAACGGAUGUCAUAGUCGCCUCCAUCCCUCUGCAGUCAGAGACGGAGCAUCCAAGGGCGGCUCAUGAGCGCUCUACCGUGGAGUGCAGAUCUCAUUCUAGGACUUCCGUUGAUGAGCCCGUCUGCACUGGGAUGUGCCCGUAGCCAUGCGAAAAUAACUAAUGUUGCCGGAGGCGGAGAUGUUCCUCCUCAACAAGAGCCCACUAGUGGGUUCCUUUCUAUUAAAGUUUUUGUUCAUUUUUCUUACUUUUUUGUCUUCUUGAACUUCUUCGCAGGCCAGUUUUCUUCGUUCCUUAGUGUUGUAGACCUGUCCCCACCCAGCAAUGUAGGCGGGGACGACAACAUCAAGGAGGUCACCAGGAAUGCGCGUGUCGAAACCAGCCGAACCAUGGCAGAAGGAGAGGCUUCCAUCAAGUGUGUGGAGAAGGAAGCUGACAAGAAGGAUGCGGAGGACGUGGUGUCAGAGGUGGCCAAAGACACUGAGGGGUCAGGGACCUGUAGUUCACCAACUUCCUCGGUGACGCAAUUCCUCAUGCUUUUUUUGAAGGCGAUUCUCUUGACGA